CGAGAACAACACAGUGUAGCGCUGCGUGUGAUGAAGAAACACAGAAUUCGUAACUUUACUCAUAUCACAGCGCAACCUUACCUGGUUCACGUGCAGCUUCAGAUCGAAUCUCUGGCGAAUGCUCAUGAAGCGCCAGAGUUAAUGCCAGUCGGUCAUAUGAUGAAGGACCGGCGUCAAACCCGCCGCCAUUUCAGUGAACUAAAUCAAGCUAGCCGCAGAGUGAUUUGAAAUGCACCCACAAGCAUCACAUUUUCUCCACUGUUUACACAGAAAUGGGUACUAUGGCCCCAAUGACCAAACUUCAUGCACAAAAAUAAAAUAAAAUAAUGCUCAAAACUAUGAGCGCAUUUUGUUUAUUUUCACACAGAUGUCAGUGUCACUAACAUUUGUGGAAAACACUUUACAUAACUUUUCUCUUCAGGCACAAUUUUUGGAACGUAAGUAUGAAUGUGCACAAUGUAUGUUUGUGACCUUUGCAAAAAUAGCCUACUGCACAUUUGGGGCAACAACACAGUGCUCGUUU